rnacentral:lncRNA from 1 species
AUUGAAUUUUGAGAAAAUAAUAUAAUUCAAUGUCAUACACUACAUCCCUUCGACAUGAAGGGUUGGCGUUACAUAGCCUGAAACAAUCGCAAACAAGCAACAUGUGUGUAUGUGUGUUGUAAAAAGGCAAGUAAAACUUUGAAGUUGGUUAAGGAAGUUCAAAAUUAUACAAAUUUAAAAAUAUAAUUUUCCAAGUUAAAAUAAUUCCUAACCUGAUUUAUCCGUUAGAGCCUGACAGAACAUCGAAUAGGCCACAGCAACUCAACCAAGAAGUCUUAUGCACUAUAAGUGGAGCAGAUGCUACUGGAGGCUGCAUUUCAAUACAAUUCAGCAAAGAAAAGCUUUUAAAAUAAUAAUCUACACAAAAGUUCAGAAACUAAAAGUGUCUUAACGAAAAUCACACACACUAGUAAGUUCAAGAGUACAUUAAGAAAAGCUUCUAUAUAGGUUUGUUAGACAUUUUAUCAAACAUCUACAAUGCAUUUUAUCUCAAUUACUAAUUCUAUUUCUAACCCCAUUAAACUACCCACCCCCAAAAUCAAAUAGUUUAACUAAAAUUGAUAUUGGGAUAACAACUCACAAUAUUUUAACAAUUUGGCAUAUAGAUUUGCAAAAGGAACAAUAUUUCAAGUGCAUGAAAUGAGAAGAGAACCAUGUCUAUUAUGCAUAAAAGCUAUGGUAGAAAA